AAUGUUAAAUGGAAAUAUAUAUAUACAAUUUCCCAAAUGACUUUGGAUAUUUUAGGACCCAGACCUUUCCUUGCCAGUCAUAGUGGGCGGGCUGCUGAUGUGCUCCAAUAACCAAUGGUUGCUUAAAGCGCCUGCGACGUCACAGCGUGAUCAAACAGUCUAGUUUCACUUUCUUUUCACCGUAAAUGGUGGGUGUUUUUGUGAUCAAGCUAGGCUAGACUAACAACAUCUGAAAGUAUUUGGGUUUUUUUUUUUUCUUCUUCAUCCCAGCGUCUUCUCUUUUGCUCCUGCAGGCUCAGCUUGCACUGCAGGUGAAAUCAUGGAUGGUUUGCUUAAGGAAAUAAGAUGCAAGGAUGAAGCAGCAGCCUCUGUACUGGAACAGGCAGGUUUGAGCAGUGACUCAGAUCUCCAGUCACUGACUUUACAAGACCUGAGUGAGCUGUUCCCUGGAGUUAAAAAUGUCAAACUGAGAAGGACAAUCUUUGAUGUAGUACACAAGCAGAAACCAAUUGAUGUGCUCAUAGAAGAAUUCAAGGACUUCAUCCCACAUGAAUCUCUCAGGGCUGCCUUAACCGAAAAUAGAGUCUUGGUCGAUUACCUGAAAAUGUUGAAGGAAAUGAAGACCCAAAUGAAUAAUGAUUUCCUUGAUCGACAUAUCAGUCUGUUGGAGGACUUCAGGAAAUCUCAACCAUCGCAGGACCAGGACAAAGAUGAAAUCAUGGAUGGUUUGCUUAAGGAAAUAAGACGCAAGGAUGAAGCAGCAGCCUCUGUACUGGAACACGCAGGUUUGAGAGCUGACUCAGAUCUCCAGUCACUGACUUUACAAGACCUGAGUGAGCUGUUCCCUGGAGUUAAAAAUGUCAAACUGAUAAGGAAAAUCUUUGAUAUAAUACACAAGCAGAAACCAAUUGAUAUCCUCAUAAAAGAAUUCAAGGACUUCAUCCCACAUGAAUAUUUCAGGGCUGCCUUAACCGAACAUGGAGUCUUGGUCGACUACCUGAAAAUGUUGAAGGAAAUGAAGACCAAAAUGAAUAAAGUGCAGGAUUUCCUUGAUGCUCAUAUCAAUCUACUGGAGGACUUCAGGAAAUCUCAACCAUCACAGGACCAGUACAAAGCCCUGAUUUGUCCCAGCUGUGUUUCCCUCCUGUCUAUCAUUCCCUGAUUGCUCCCUCUGUGUAUAUUAGCCCUGUGUUCUCUUUGGUCUGUGUCGUAGUCUCCCUUAGCUACACUCAUCGUGCUGUGUAUUCUGCCUGCCUGCCAGUGAGAGGAAUGAGGUACAACACAAGGUGGCCCCACUGAGCAGCUUGGCUCGGUGAAGUGCGGCUAUCAAGCUGAGGUAUGACUGUGAUGACAGCGAUUAUAUGUGCAGGCGGGGCUGUGCGCAAGUCAUCACAGGCAUCGCCAUGAUCCACUGGGGAAUCCUUCAAAACGGAAGCGCUGGAGAAGUGGACAUAUACGUGCCAGGCGUCGCCUGGUAAGGUCCGUGCCAGGCAACCCUAGCUUUUUAGGACUUUAUUCUGCCCUCAAACAGCGGUGCCUUCUUCCUGUUUACCCAACGUCAUCGAAGCACGCUCACCUGACGCAGUUUUAUUGGUCGCCAUGGAGGUGGAGCAAAUAUAAACAACUUGCAGUUACUGCAUAUCCAUCCUGCUACCACAGAUGGACAGAGUUAAAUUGGCUCUCUUAAAUGCAAGAUCUGUAAACAAAUAAAACUUGCCUCUAUCAUCAAAGCUUUUAAGUGCAAACAAAUACAAAGUCCUGGUGUUUUUACUUCAUUUGAGUCCCAGCUCCUGACUUUAAGCUGUCCUGCGGAUCUAAUUAGUCAUCUAUCGUCCACCUAAACAUAAUGACUUGUUUAUUUCAGAUUUUUUUUUUUUUUUGUUGUUGUUAUCCCUCACUAUGAAAGGAUUCUUAUAGUGGGGGACUUUAAUAUUCAUCUGUGUUGUGAGGAUAAACCCCUUGUCAAAAUUUCUUAAACGUAAUUGAUUCCUUAAACUUCACACAAUUUGUGUCAGGGCCAACACGUAAGGGCCACACCCUAGACCUUGUCUUGGGUUAUGGACUGAAUGUAUCGGUGACUGAAAAUUGUGUUUUACCUAUUUUAGACCACUCAGAAAUUUUAUUUGAUAUUUUAAUCCCCUAAAUCUCCAGCUCUGAGAGGGGAAAAUUGCUCCUAAGAUCAUCUCGUCAUAUUAGUCCCGAAGCACUGCGAACAUUUACCUGAUGUGUUGGCCCCAUUUUUACCCAGGAGUUAUGUGUGGACACCUUGACUCCAAACCUUAAUAAUACACUUCUUGAGCUACUGGACUCUGUUGCUCCUGAAAAGAAGUUAAAAUGUCAAAAAAAGAACCCUAUGCCCAGGCUACAUGAGGAGCUCUUGAAUUUGAGAAGAAAUUGUCGAAAAGCAGAGUGUUGCUGGUGAUCUUCCAGACCAGAAGUAUUUCUCCAGGCUUGGUACGACUCUUUGUCUUUUUUUUCAAUCAGCGAUGUCAGCAGCGAAAGCAAAUUAUUUUUCGAAUCUCAUCAUGAGUCAUAAGCUUAACUCAAAACUAUUAUUCAACACCCUGUCACAACUUAGAGUAAGUCGACUCUCUGCUGUUCAAAUUUGACAGCAUAUGACUUAUGUUUUUCAGCGACAGGGCUGCAACCCACCUUGAGCUGUUCAUUAGACUACUCAGCUGCUUUACCUGCUGGUGCUGAUAAACUGUUCUCUGAC